UUCUUUGGUCGGCUCCACGGUCCACACGAAUGGCUCUAAAGGGAAGACCAAAAAACCCACUCGUUAAAGCUCACUGUUUGAAAAAGCAUUGCUUAUAUUGUGUGUUAUUGUUUCUGAAUCUCCAAAGUAACUCAAGUUAUAAAAUACUUGUAGGCAUAAAAAGUACAAUAUUUGCUUCUGGAUUUGACUGGAGAAGAAUUAGAAAGUCGCAGGGAAUAUAAAUACUCAAUUAUAGUAAACGUAGUUCAAAUUGUAAUAAACACUUUGCUUUUAUCAUCUGAUAAGUGUUAAAAGGAGCACUUCCUGUUUCAAACACACCUUGUUUGGGGUUGGGGGAGGUGAGAAGCUGCUCCAGAGAGGGCAGGGGCGUACGGGCAGGAGAAGAGUUCUCGGUCUCGGUGGUCUCCAUUCCCUCGCCCUCCUCCCUGGCCAUAGACUGCAGGUCGCUGAGGGUCAUCAGUCCCAGCCCCGCCUGGUUGGGAUCUGUGUUUCUGCGGGAGUCCGACAUCAGGGACUUACGGCUGGACUGCACAACUACUGAAUCUGAAAGAGUUCAAGGGUGGCUGCCUCUGCACGUGCGGCUGAGUGAGAAGAGCAAGACGCUGGUGCAUUUAUCAGAUCAAAUGCAUCUGAGUUUAGACCAGAUUUUGAUGUGUGGUCUGGAUUCAGAGAAACGUACAAUCAGGUUGAUGGUUUCCCGGGCUCGAGGCCAGUACAAAGCUGAGGUGGAACAGUAAACUUGAGAGCUCACAGUGCCAAGAGCAGAAACAGUAAUACAAAUCUUGAGUCUAUAA